UUUUCUUUUUAUUUUAUAGAUAAAUAGAUAAAUAAAUAAAUUUAAAAAGAUAAAUAGUAUUUUUAUGAUAAUAUAUUUAUACUUAAAUCUUAUUAUAUAAUAUAAAUUAAUUAAAUUUAAUAUAUUAUUCAUUUUAUUAAAUUUUAUUAUUUAUAUAUUAAUAUUUAUUUAUUUUUUAUAUUAAAUAUUAUAUAUAUAUAAUUAGUUUUUCAUAUUAUAUAUAUAUUUUUUAAUUUGUAUUGAAAUUUAUUCUAUUAUUAAUUAAAAUUAUUAGGAUAUUGUUUGUAUUAUACUUUAUUCAUUACAUAUAUUAUGAAUAAUUUAUAUAUAAUAAAUU
rnacentral:lncRNA from 1 species